UGGGGAAUAUUGCACAAUGGGGGAAACCCUGAUGCAGCGACGCCGCGUGAACGAAGAAGGUAUUCGUAUCGUAAAGUUCUGUCCUAUGGGAAGAUAAUGACAGUACCAUAGAAGAAAGCUCCGGCUAAAUACGUGCCAGCAGCCGCGGUAAUACGUAUGGAGCGAGCGUUGUCCGGCAUUAUUGGGCGUAAAGGGUACGCAGGCGGUUUAAUAAGUCGAAUGUUAAAGAUCGGGGCUCAACCCCGCAAAGCAUUGGAAACUGAUAAACUUGAGUAGUGGAGAGGAAAGUGGAAUUCCUAGUGUAGUGGUGAAAUACGUAGAUAUUAGGAGGAAUACCAGUAGCGAAGGCGACUUUCUGGACACAAACUGACGCUGAGGUACGAAAGCGUGGGGAGCAAAAAGG
rnacentral:rRNA from 1 species